GUGAAAAUGUGGCCGCCUUGCAUCGCCUCCUCCUCCUUCCUCCCGCCAUCUUCAUCUGUCAGCUGAUCCGAGGUGGACGGCGUUCCGCGUGUCGGCCAAUUUCCUUGUAAUCCAGGACGACACAGACGGCCAUGGAUGGAAGCAAGAUGCUGGACUUUGUGGACCCUGGCGGCCAUGGGGAGGUGUCCAUGGGCGCUGGGCAAGGCCGAGGGCGAGGAGUACAGCACACUGGAUGAGGGGGACCAUGGAUGGUGCAGGGCUCUCAGGAGAUGGACAAGCAGAAACAGGGGGCCAGAAUUCACAGGUGUUCUUCAUUGAGUGUGUGAGUGCCGCUGUCGUCACCAUGAACACCUGCUCGGAGGCACCAAGACCCGUCAAGCCAGUCCGCCCUGCAAGACUGCCUGGUCAAGAUGGGGUCCAGCCUUGCACAGAACUGCUUGGCUGGCCAGUGCCACAAGUUGGUGGUGACAAAGUAAAGCCCUCCAUGACUGCUACAGCCUGAUGGAUGGAUCUCAUGGUAGGGUAUGAUGGGCUGAGAGAGAAGGAUGAUGUAGCAAGGUGUGUGGUGACCCAGGCUGUGGAGGGUGGCUGCCACACUCACUGCUCCAGCCACUCACAGCUGUACCUCAGGAGCCAGACACCAUCUGCUUCACUCCUGCCCAGACUUUGCCACUCACACCCAACAGCUGCUUCAUCUUAAGGCGUAGGAGGACUGGCCGCCUGCAUUGGACCCCCGCAUAACUGGCCCGCGUGCAUCAUCUCCCGACAUCAUUGCAGCCUUUUUGGUCCCCUUGGACGUUUAGGGGCACGUGCAGAAGCAGCAGCCGUUGCUACAGCUGCCGCAGCACUCGUUGUUGGCGUGGCAGAGGUGGUGGUCACUUUACUGGGGUCGGUCUAUGGGACAGAGGUAGGGUGCGUGGGGGAGGUGGUGAUGGUCCGGGGCGACAGUGUAGACAUAAGCCUACUCCUCAAGCCAAAUUAGCAGCGCUACUAAUGUUAGCGCAGUUAUGAUACGCGCGUAAAGUAGCUGUCCCAUAAGGGAUCUAUCGGCCUGUGGUGACGUAGUCCCAUAUGGGCCCUACCGGCCGGGACGGUUAAGUUGAGGGAGGGAAGUGACGGUGGAGGUUGUUUUGAAAUGUAUUGUUUGCUGCAGCACUGGACCACGGAAGGGAAGGUUGUUCAGCGCUGGGAAUGUGUCCUCAAUGAAUCA